rnacentral:rRNA from 1 species
GGAGAAAAGCAGGGGAUCGAAAGACCUUAUGCUUUUGGAGCGGCCGAUGUCUGAUUAGCUAGUUGGUAGGGUAAUGGCUUACCAAGGCGACGAUCAGUAGUUGGUCUGAGAGGACGACCAGCCACACUGGGACUGAGACACGGCCCAGACUCCUACGGGAGGCGGCAGUGGGGAAUUUUGGACAAUGGGCGCAAGCCUGAUCCAGCAAUGCCGCGUGAGUGAAGAAGGCCUUCGGGUUGUAAAGCUCUUUCAGUUGAAAAGAAAAAGCCGUGACUAAUAAUCAUGGUUCAUGACGGUAUCAACAGAAGAAGCACCGGCUAACUACGUGCCAGCAGCCGCGGUAAUACGUAGGGUGCAAGCGUUAAUCGGAAUUACUGGGCGUAAAGGGUGCGCAGGCGGUUCUGUAAGUCAGAUGUGAAAUCCCCGGGCUUAACCUGGGAACUGCGUUUGAAACUACAAAGCUAGAAGGGCGAA